UUUGACCUGUUGCAAAUAAACUAUAAUAUCUCGGACGAUGGCAGCAGCGCCAUGUGUGUGAAGACUAGGCGUGACGCCGUCAUUGUGGAGGGCCACACAGUGAUGAGAAAUUUUACUUACAGAAACAUGAGUUCCACACUUCGACAAAGGGCCAGCGCACUAAUUAAUAUGACAUUUUAUAAA